rnacentral:rRNA from 1 species
AACGAACGUUGGCGGCGCGCCUAACACAUGCAAGUCGCACGAGAAAGGGAGCAAUCCCCGGUACAGUGGCGCACGGGUGAGUAACGCGUGGAUAAUCUUCCCUUGGGCGGGGGAUAACCUUCCGAAAGGAGGGCUAAUACCGUAUAAGACCACAGCGAGUUCGCUCGCAGGGGUCAAAGCUGGCCUCUUCAUGAAAGCUAGCACCUAAGGAUGAGUCCGCGUCCCAUCAGCUAGUUGGUAGGGGAAAAGACUACCAAGGCGAAGACGGGUAGCUGGUCUGAGAGGAUGAUCAGCCAAACUGGAACUGAGACACGGUCCAGACUCCUACGGGAGGCAGCAGUGGGGAAUCUUGCGCAAUGGGCGAAAGCCUGACGCAGCGACGCCGCGUGGGUGAUGAAGGCCCUCGGGUUGUAAAGCCCUGUGGGGAGGGACGAAUAAGUCGUGGCUAAUAUCCACGAUGAUGACGGUACCUCCUUAGCAAGCACCGGCUAACUCUGUGCCAGCAGCCGCCGUAA